rnacentral:rRNA from 1 species
CCUUGUACACACCGCCCGUCACGUCAUGAAAGUUGGGAACACCUGAAGUCGCUGGGCCGACCGCAAGGAGGUAGGCGCCGAGGGUGGGUCCGAUGAUUGGGACG